rnacentral:rRNA from 1 species
UACGUAGGGUGCAAGCGUUGUUCGGAAUCAUUGGGCGUAAAGCGCGUGUAGGUGGUUAUGUAAGUCGAGUGUGAAAUCCCUGGGCUCAACCGAGGAAGUGCACCCGAAACUACAUAGCUAGAGGACAGUAGAGGAAGGUGGAAUUCCUAGUGUAGAGGUGAAAUUCGUAGAUAUUAGGAGGAAUACCGGUGGCGAAGGCGGCCUUCUGGGCUGGACCUGACACUGAGACGCGAAAGCGUGGGUAGCAAACAGG